rnacentral:rRNA from 1 species
AGCGAACGUUAGCGGCGGGCCUAACACAUGCAAGUCGAGCGAGAAAGUGGCUUCGGCCAUCAGUAAAGCGGCGGACGGGUGAGUAACACGUAGGUAAUCUUCCCUUGAGCGGGGGACAACGUUUCGAAAGGAACGCUAAUACCGCAUACGUUCCCGGGAGCUUCGGCGCCCGGGAGGAAAGCUAGGUCGGGCGUUAAACCCCGGUCCGGCACUCGAGGAGGAGCCUGCGUCGCAUCAGCUAGUUGGUGGGGUAACGGCCUACCAAGGCGA